GGGUUGUGAGGUUAAGCGACUAAGCGUACACGGUGGAUGCCUAGGCAGUCAGAGGCGA
rnacentral:rRNA from 1 species